rnacentral:lncRNA from 10 species
CAUUCUUCCUUUGUGUCCUACUCAAGGAAUAUCAGCUCUUAAAGAAACUGCUAAUAGUUAAGUCAUGGUUUUUAGUCUAAAAUCCUGACUCAGAAAUGUUACACAGUCUUCAUGGGAAUCUAGGAAAAUAUGAUGAUUUAUCUAAGAAACUAAGGUGGCACAAAGAAGAAACCCAGGAAAAAAUAUAGAAAAAAACUGAUUAUAAAAUGAAUCUAGAAAAACAAAGGACCUAGAAUGGCCAAAACAACUUUGAAAAAGAAGAAUGAAGUUGGAGGGCUUAAUACUCGGAUUUUAAGACUUAUUACAAAGCUUCUUUAUCACGACCGUGUGGUAUGAGCAA